GAUAAACGCUGGCGGCGCACAUAAGACAUGCAAGUCGAACGAACUUAACUCAUUCUUUUAGUUUGAGAGCGGUUAGUGGCGGACUGGUGAGUAACACGUAAGCAACCUGCCUAUUAGAGGGGAAUAACAGUGAGAAAUCAUUGCUAAUACCGCAUAUGCUAACAGUAUCGCAUGAUACAGUUAGGAAAGGAGCAAUCCGCUAAUAGAUGGGCUUGCGUCUGAUUAGAUAGUUGGUGGGUAACGGCUACCAAGUCGACGAUCAGUAGCCGGACUGAGAGGUUGAACGGCCACAUUGGGACUGAGAUACGGCCCAGACUCCUACGGGAGGCAGCAGUCGGGAAUAUUGCGCAAUGGAGGAAACUCUGACGCAGUGACGCCGCGUAUAGGAAGAAGGUUUUCGGAUUGUAAAACUAUUAGUCAUCAGGGAAGAGAAAGGACAGUACCUGAGNGGAAGCUCCGGGCUAAACUACGUG
rnacentral:rRNA from 1 species